UUCUCAUCAAACUGAAAAAAUGAAGUCAGUUUACUGAACCAGGAAAGGAUAAUUUGCAUAGUUCUGGAGAGCUCCCUACUUCUGCAACUUAGGAACACUCAAGGCAUUUUGGAAAAGGAGAAAGGAAUCACCCCGGGCAGCCAUUAAAAGGACACUUUUCCUGCAGUGUGUGGUUAUCCAGACUCAUGAGCUGCAGAGUGCCCAUUGCCCAGUCUCAGUUUUGAUCUUGGCUCAUAGAAGGACCUCCUUCCUUCUGAUACCUGCAGAGAAAAAAUGAGCCUCUUGCCAGUACUGCAUAUCACCAGCUGGAAGGUAAUACCACUGUCUUUAAUAGGAAAUGGACACAAACCACAAAAAUAAUUUCACAGACCAGCCGGCAUUGUAAAGUUCCCUAGUAUUUGGUUUUAUGUAUUGUGAUUUAUGGAAGAAAUAAGCAAACAAGAGAAUUUUUUUCCAAGAGGAAAGUGUAUGUAGUACCACUAUCUGUUAUACCAAAGAAGAAGAGGAGGAGGAGGAGGAACAAGAGGAGGAAGGAGAAGAGGAAUGUUAUGUUACUGGUCAUCAUCAUAUAAAGUAGAGCAUAAACGGUGACUUUCAAAGAACACUGAGAGUAAGAUUCUCAUCGACAGAAGCAAAUACAAACAGUCUUGGAAUGGUUGAGACAUAGAAACCUUUGGAAGGCAUUAGCUAGGUAACUGGUAUGCACCAAAUGCACCUGUAUUGCUUGCUGUUUAAUUUCUCUUUGACAAUACUGUAACGUGGAGAUUAAAAUGUGUUCACUGUGUGCUCAGGAUGACGUGAGCAGAUGAAAGGAUGAGCAGAGAUUUGAACUCAGCUCUGAGUGGAAGGCUGUCCUUUCUCUCUUACUUCACCUGCUUCUGCUGUGCUUCACUGUGUAGAGUUUGAGUUGCUCGAGGAUUUGACAGCUCCAGCUUUGUGUUAGCAAUGUGCACAGGAAACCAAGAAGCUGGUGUAAAGUUACUAGUUGUGUUACCUAGUAUGGCUCUUGUAGUAAUUUUUGCCA